UGCCUACGGGUUGGGGGGGUAAGAGCGGGGAGGAGGGAGUGUAAGCAGCUGCGUGGUUCUUGGCUGCUGGCUGGGCUGAGGUUACGACAAAUAUAAAAAUCACAAAAUCUCACACUGGUCUGCUUUCUUUUCCUCAUGUCUUUUAAGAAGGACAACUGUUUUGUCUACCACCUAGAAUUUCCACUGUUCAGCUUCCAUUUGAUGCUUUACUGCAGCUGGAGCACCUAUUUCCACUAGAAUCUCUGUGAAUCGUGAGCCACCAGAAUAGGGAGCAUCUUCAGAUAUUUCUAAGCUAAAAAUCACAAAAUCUCACACUGGUCUGCUUUCUUUUCCUCAUGUCUUUUAAGAAGGACAACUGUUUUGUCUACCACCUAGAAUUUCCACUGUUCAGCUUCCAUUUGAUGCUUUACUGCAGCUGGAGCACCUAUUUCCACUAGAAUCUCUGUGAAUCGUGAGCCACCAGAAUAGGGAGCAUCUUCAGAUAUUUCUAAGCAUAUUGGCACCUUUGUUAAAAGGUUAUCAUUCUCUCUUUUAUGUCAGUCUUCAGACAUUUGUUUUUGUUGUCAGGGAUUGUUCUUAUACACAUAAAUAGCAUCAUGUGUUUUGGUAUUAUGUAUAGAGGCAAUUUGAUUUAUACACUAACCUGUGAACAAAUGAAGAAUGCACAGAGCAAACGCCAAACCACAACCAACAAGAUAAGCAUAUUUAGUGAGAAGUAUUGUUAUGUUAGGAUUGUUUAGUGCUCUGUUCUGUUUACUGUGCCGUUAGUGACUUGUUUUGCUUGAAUUGAUUUCUUUUUCUCUACAGCAGCUACCAAAAAUGUAAGUAAAUUACUGUUAAUUUUUAUGCGAUCUCACUAACAGAUGUGAAGAAAACCUGACAGACAUUCAUGGAAGAAGGAAAUGCAUGUUAGCAAUUUUGUUAAAGAAUAAUUUUGUAUGCAUGAAUUAAAAACUAUGAAUUAAUCGUGUAAUGAAACUUGGUAUUCUAAAAUGGAGUGAUUAAUAUUCUGCAUAUUUACAUUUAAGAUAUUGAAUUUUCAGAAUGUGAAUCAGAAUAUUUUGAUUAAUUACAUGUUGUAGAAAAAAAAGGAAGAAAAUGUCAAAUCCAACCUCAACAUUUUCAGAAGUCAGAAUGCUCCAAACACAGAGCAAAAAUUCUCAAAAUAUUGUGGGAUUCUCGAAAUUCUCAGUAUGUCUGAGCUCUGAGCGCCCACCAGAAAGACUAAAACCCGUAAAAGGAACUAGGCAAACCACCAAGGCCCGACUGUUUACCAAAAACAUAGCCUUCAGCCACUCAAGUAUUGAAGGUGAUGCCUGCCCAGUGACAUUGUUUAACGGCCGCGGUAUCCUAACCGUGCGAAGGUAGCGCAAUCAAUUGUCUCAUAAAUCGAGACCAGUAUGAAUGGCUAAACGAGGUCUUAACUGUCUCUUACGGGUAGUCAGUGAAAUUGAUCUUCCUGUGCAAAAGCAGGGAUAAGCCCAUAAGACGAGAAGACCCUGUGGAACUUAAAAAUCAAUGGCCACACACAUAAAUCCCCCUCCUACUCAAGGUUUAUUUGCCCAUUAAUAAUGCUGGCCUAUAUUUUUUGGUUGGGGCGACCCUGGAGAAAAACAAAGCCUCCAGAACUAGGACCACCCCUCUUAACCCAGAGCAACCCCUCAACGUACUAAUAGUAACCAGACCCAAUAAAAUUGACCAAUGGACCAAGCUACCCCAGGGAUAACAGCGCAAUCCCCUCCAAGAGCCCCCAUCGACGAGGGGGUUUACGACCUCGAUGUUGGAUCAGGACAUCCUAGUUUUGUUUUCUUGUCAGUGAUUGAGAAUAUCCACAGCUACCCUUC
rfam:Acanthisitta chloris contig9842, whole genome shotgun sequence.